rnacentral:rRNA from 1 species
GAUGAACGCUGACAGAAUGCUUAACACAUGCAAGUCUUUGGCGAAUCUGUGCUUGCACAUGCUAGCCAGGGCGGAAGGGUUGGUAACGCGUAAAGAACUUGCCCUGCAGACAGGGAUAACAGACGGAAACGACGGAUAACACCUCAUACGGUUUCCGGCACGCAUGUGCCGGGCAAUGGAAAGCGAUGCUGCAGGAGAGCUUUGCGUCCUAUUAGCUUUUUGGUGAGGUGAGGGCUCACCAAGGCGAUGUUAGGUAGCCGGCCUGAGAGGGUGAACGGCCACAAGGGGACUGAGAUACGGCCCUUACUACUACGGGAGGCAGCAGUGGGGAAUAUUGGACAAUGGGGGCAACCCUGAUCCAGCAAUUCUGUGUGCACGAAGAAGGUUUUCGGAUUGUAAAGUGCUUUCAGCAGGGAAGAAGAAAGUGACGGUACCUGCAGAAGAAGCGACGGCUAAAUACGUG